GAUGAACGCUGGCGGCGUGCCUAAUACAUGCAAGUCGAGCGAACAGAUAAGGAUCUUGCUCCUUUGACGUUAGCGGCGGACGGGUGAGUAACAAGUGGGUAACCUACCUAUAAGACUGGAAUAACUCCGGGAAACCGGGGCUAAUGCCGGAUAACAUUUAGAACCGCAUGGUUCUAAAGUGAAAGAUGGUUUUGCUAUCACUUAUAGAUGGACCCGCGCCGUAUUAGCUAGUUGGUAAGGUAACGGCUUACCAAGGCAACGAUACGUAGCCGACCUGAGAGGGUGAUCGGCCACACUGGAACUGAGACACGGUCCAGACUCCUACGGGAGGCAGCAGUAGGGAAUCUUCCGCAAUGGGCGAAAGCCUGACGGAGCAACGCCGCGUGAGUGAUGAAGGUCUUCGGAUCGUAAAACUCUGUUAUUAGGGAAGAACAAAUGUGUAAGUAACUGUGCACGUCUUGACGGUACCUAAUCAGAAAGCCACGGCUAACUACGUG
rnacentral:rRNA from 1 species